rnacentral:lncRNA from 1 species
UGUGGUGCGAAUUUUAAAAUAAUCAUUGUCCUCGAUCCUUCGACCACGCUCCAUUACACACAAAAUCAUUAGAUACGAUGAAUCAUUUGUACAACUAUAACACCUUCAACUCCAACAAAAUUAAAGUACAAAAUACUACUACUUCACCAAGUAGCAUGGACAUUAAUUUAAUUAGAGUACAAAGAAAUGUCCAGUCUCAAUGUCCGUUCCACUUAACCAUAUCACAAUAUGGAAUUGAAGUAAUCUAAUAACCCCCCUUGACAUCAUUAACCACAUCAUAUGGAAUAGGAGUAAUAGUCUCCCAGGUGCGGGUCCCUUUGGCUGUUUUUUGGUGCUAAUUACUGCACAUCUUGAUUUAGCCUCAACCUUCAUUUUGACUGUACUCUUGAUCAUUCUGUAGAAAUUCCUCAUCACACCUCGAUCAACGCACAUGAUCAACUCAAAAAUCAACCCUUCGAAUGAGUCUGCUGCCUACCUGCAUCACGUGUGUGCUAAAGUAAAAUGACACAGUACAGAAUGUUCGUAACUAUCCAUCCAACCAACUUACAAACCAAAAAAUUUACUCACCCAUGGAAUAGGAAACGUGCAUGCAAUCUAAUCACCAAAAAAUGAACAACCCUUUCACAUAUCAUAAAUAAUACAUACCAUAAACAAUACAUGCCAUAAAUAUAAUGUUAAAGCCAAGGUAUAAGACAAGGAAGGCAUCCCACUAGACC